CGUGUUUAUUUUCUUGUCCCUCUUCUGUUCUCCUCCUCUUCGCCGUUUCCAACUCAACAACUCUCUCUGUUUCAGCUUCUUCUUCUUCUUCUUUAACAACACCUCUUAAAUCACAGCCGUUGAUCAUAAUUACAGGUCUAGAUGUGUGUGUAUAUAUACACAAACACACACAUUUAAUCCUGUAUUACACUAAACCUCUUUGAAAAAGCCUUGCCUCUUUUCUCUUACCAAGAUUUAGCUUUUUCUCUGCCAAUCCCUUUUAUUGGUUAAGAUGGUUUUGAUGAUAUAUUGUAGUGAAGCUGCUUACUAGGCGCUUGUCUAGUCCGUGUGCUUCCUCUUCAGUCGACCAUUCUUCAGUAAAUGGGCUGCUUUCAUUCUAAGGUUAAAAAGAAGUUACGUGGACACGAAGAUCCUGUAGUCCUUGCGUCCCAAACAGCUUUUAGUGUUAGCGAAGUAGAAGCAUUGUUUGAGCUGUUCAAGAGUAUCAGUAGUUCGGUAAUUGACGAUGGGCUAAUAAGCAAGGU